UCCCAAUUCUUGAAGUUUUAUCGGGCAGG
rnacentral:piRNA from 1 species